AUGAACGCUGGCGGCGUGCCUAAUACAUGCAAGUCGAGCGAACAGACGAGGAGCUUGCUCCUCUGACGUUAGCGGCGGACGGGUGAGUAACACGUGGAUAACCUACCUAUAAGACUGGGAUAACUUCGGGAAACCGGAGCUAAUACCGGAUAAUAUAUUGAACCGCAUGGUUCAAUAGUGAAAGACGGUUUUGCUGUCACUUAUAGAUGGAUCCGCGCCGCAUUAGCUAGUUGGUAAGGUAACGGCUUACCAAGGCGACGAUGCGUAGCCGACCUGAGAGGGUGAUCGGCCACACUGGAACUGAGACACGGUCCAGACUCCUACGGGAGGCAGCAGUAGGGAAUCUUCCGCAAUGGGCGAAAGCCUGACGGAGCAACGCCGCGUGGGUGAUGAAGGUCUUCGGAUCGUAAAACUCUGUUAUUAGGGAAGAACAAAUGUGUAAGUAACUAUGCACGUCUUGACGGUACCUAAUCAGAAAGCCACGGCUAACUACGUG
rnacentral:rRNA from 1 species